CCUACGGGAGGCAGCAGUGGGGAAUAUUGGACAAUGGGGGCAACCCUGAUCCAGCCAUGCCGCGUGUGUGAAGAAGGCCCUCGGGUUGUAAAGCACUUUCAGUGAGGAAGAACGCCUGGUGGUUAAUACCCAUCAGGAAAGACAUCACUCACAGAAGAAGCACCGGCUAACUCCGUGCCAGCAGCCGCGGUAAUACGGAGGGUGCGAGCGUUAAUCGGAAUUACUGGGCGUAAAGCGCGCGUAGGUGGCUUGAUAAGCCGGUUGUGAAAGCCCCGGGCUCAACCUGGGAACGGCAUCCGGAACUGUCAAGCUAGAGUGAAGGAGAGGAAGGUAGAAUUCCCGGUGUAGCGGUGAAAUGCGUAGAGAUCGGGAGGAAUACCAGUGGCGAAGGCGGCCUUCUGGACUGACACUGACACUGAGGUGCGAAAGCGUGGGUAGCAAACAGGAUUAGAUACCCUGGUAGUC
rnacentral:rRNA from 1 species